rnacentral:rRNA from 1 species
AACGAACGCUGGCGGCAGGCUUAACACAUGCAAGUCGAACGGUUGUAGCAAUACAGCAGUGGCAGACGGGUGAGUAACACGUGGGAACCUUCCUCGGGGUACGGAACAACGCAGGGAAACUUGCGCUAAUACCGUAUACGUCCGUGAGGAGAAAGAUUUAUCGCCCUGAGACGGGCCCGCGUCGGAUUAGCUAGUUGGUGGGGUAACGGCCUGCCAAGGCGACGAUCCGUAGCUGAUCUUAGAGGAUGAUCAGCCACACUGGGACUGAGACACGGCCCAGACUCCUACGGGAGGCAGCAGUGGGGAAUCUUGGACAAUGGGCGCAAGCCUGAUCCAGCCAUGCCGCGUGAGUGAAGAAGGUCUUCGGAUUGUAAAGCUCUUUUGCCAGGGACGAUAAUGACGGUACCUGGAGAAUAAGCCCCGGCAAACUUCGUGCCAGCCGCCGCGGUAACAC